rnacentral:rRNA from 1 species
GAUGAACGCUAGCGGCGUGCCUAAUACAUGCAAGUCGAGCGAACAUACGAGGAGCUUUCUCCUCUGACGUUAGCGGCGGACGGGUGAGUCGCACGUGGAUAACCUACCUAUAAGACUUGGAUAACUUCGGGAAACCGUAGCCAAUACCAAAUAAUAUAUUCAACCUCAUGUUUCAAUAGAGAAAGACUGUUUUACUGUUGCUUAUGCGUGACUCCGGCCCGCAGUAGCGAUAUGGUAAGGUAACGGCUCACCAGGGCAACGAUCCGUAGCCGACCUGAGCGGGUGAUAGGCCACACUGGAACUGAGACACGGUCCAGACUCAUACGGGAGGCAGCAGUAGGGAAUGUUCCGAAAUGGGAGAAAGCCUGACGGAGCAACGCCGCGUGAGUGAUGAAGGUCUUCGGCUAGUAAAACUAUGUUAUUAGGGAAGAACAAAUGAGUAAGUAACUAUGAACGUCUUGACGGUACCUAAUCAGAAAGGAACGGCUAACUACGUG